rnacentral:rRNA from 1 species
CACGUAGGCACCAAGCGUUGUCCGGAUUUAUUGGGCGUAAAGAGCUCGUAGGCGGUUCGGUAAGUCGGGUGUGAAAACUCUGGGCUCAACCCAGAGCCGCCACCCGAUACUGCUGUGACUUGAGUGCGGUAGGGGAGCGGGGAAUUCCUGGUGUAGCGGUGAAAUGCGCAGAUAUCAGGAGGAACACGAGUGGCGAAGGCGCCGCUCUGGGCCGUGACUGACGCUGAGGAGCGAAAGCGUGGGUAGCAAACAGG